rnacentral:lncRNA from 1 species
GUCUGAUGCCAUUAUAUCUCUGGUUGCACAGGGCGUCAUAUGUGAGCAGUUGUCGGUCGUUCGCUCGACGAUGGUCACCUUCUUCCACUUUCUUCUGUGUGUAGGGACCAAAUUGUUGACGCGUAGUGGCAACGGUGCAGGCAUUCGGCGGUGUGAACCUCUCCGUUUUGACACGCCCGCCGGUCAAGGCCAAAGAGACACAAUACCGUGGGUUUGGGAAGGGAUGGCAAGUGAAAGCCAAUCGCCAGUGGCUUCUUUAGUGACCGGGAGUCCAAAUUGUGUCUACAGUGAAGCGGGUGGGCUCCCUGAGGACCGUCCAGUCCCUACUGCCAGUCUGGAGCUGCGGUGGUUUAGUUGCUAUGGACUUGCGGGUGUCUGUUUCGUGGGGCGGAUCUCCUCUAAGGACGAUCUCGUGCGACUCCCCGAGUUCUUAUGUGCGUAGUUGCUUGGGCAUAGAGACAUGCCUCUGCGCGGCCUCCAGGGCCGACAAUAACUUCAUGGAGAGCAGAAAAAAAGCGGAGAGAAUCUCGAUACGGCCGCACGCGUAUGCUGGAGCCACUGCCGUUACCCGGAAUUGUUUCCUUGUUCCGCCUGACUCAAGUGAAUUCGUGGGGUCCUGCAUCUGCGAACUUCCUCGGUGUCAUGCUCAUACUCCAAGUCUCGUCUAAAUGUAUCGAACUUUUUCUCAUCUAGGAUGCUUACUGACACCUGAGUUCUGCCCAGUCGUCUCUCUCCGGUUGUUGGUCCCGUUCGCCACAGGUCAUUGCGGACUCCUCUAAUUGAGUAUUUCUUUUCAACUGCCGCCGUUCAGACGAGACGCCCCUCAAGUGGACUCCGCCUGAAAUCCAACGUUGCCACUCGAGAAUCGACCUUCUCUCCAUGGACGCUCCGCGGACAAGGCGCUAUGGUUUACACUUGGUGCAAAGAUCCCAGGAAUCGAGUGACUCUCUUGCCUUGUGCCGUGCUCCGCCAAUCUAUUUUGGGCCAAAUAUUAGUGCUGACUUAAACCCCUUCAGGCAUUCGAAACCACAGCCCGCAUCACGCGCAACCGUAGCUACAUCACGGAAGGUCACCGUCAGGUUGUGAGCUGAUUUCGUGUCCAAGCGAAAAAUCCGCUCCCUUCCAUUCGGGAAAGAUAUUUUUUUGCCUCAGAUGCUGUAGUCCUAAAUCUGAGCUUUGAUCGAUCGCAACUCGCCACAAAGCGUUUCGGAGAUACAAAUACCCCACAGUGUUCUUCCUCUCUUUAGCUGGACUGCCGGGCGAGCGAUGCGUUUUUAACACCCCGCUUGUGCCUCAGACAAACCAGACGAAAACCGUGUCCCCUCCUGCGGGCCAAAAGCAAAGAAGAGAAAUCAAACGGAUGGAGAUCCGAGAGUGCGCCGUUCGUAAACCUCUAGCCGACGUAUCCC